CUGAAGAAGAAAAUAUCAAAAACGAAAAAAUUAUAAUUUUAAUAAUAAUUUCAAUACAGGUAUAUUAUUUAACUAACAAUACACUUACACUUCAUCAAUCUAAAGAUUCUUUGAAGAAGUCACAAUAUUAUGACAGAUUAAAAGAAGAUCUACAAGAAUAUAAGUAUAAUUACUUAGAUUAUCAUUCAAGAGCACUUAUCCUCAUCAAUAGUCUAAAGAUUCUCUGAGUAAAUUAUCAUCAAAUAGAAUUAUCAAAAAAAAAAUUUGUUACAGAGAUCUCUACUCAAAAAAAUAAUCAUAUUUUUAAUGGCAAACACUAAUACAGCUACUUAAACUACCACUCAAGAGCUCACUUAUCCUCAUCAACAACUUAAAAUACUCUUUAAGAAAAUUAAAAAGAUCAAAAAAGAACUGGAUUCAAAGAUUGAACAAGAUCUUUAAAAGUCUAUCCAAAAAAAUAAUUACAUCUUGAAUGACAAAAAGUUACUAAUAAAACUACUUAGGCUACUGAAGAGCUCAUUUAUCUUCAUUAACAAUCUUUUGAGGAGGUUACAAUGCUCUGACACAAAGGCAGAACUCGAUUCAGAGAGAUCGAACAGGCUCUCUAAAGUGCUACACAGGUAAUAUGAUUUCGAAAGUCAAGUUCAAAUAAUGAUACUUUUUUUUUUAUAUAUAUUGAUCAAAUGUAUAAAAUAUAUUAAAUUAUUAAUGUGUUCUAUAAUAUUUAAAAAUUUUAAAAGUUAUCACAGAAAAAUUUUAUGAAACGUUAAUUAAAAUGUAAAAUAAUUAUUAUUUUCAAUCAUUGAUCAAUAUAAGAUAUCAAUAAAGAAAUCGAUAAUCAAAAUAUUAUUCGAGAAAUUUUAAUUUCGGAACACAUAUCUUUCUUUUUUUAUUUUCAAUAUCUUUAAUUAUAAUUUUUCAACUAUACUUCAAUUAUAUCUUCAAUUAUAAAGUCAUAUGACAGCGAUAAUCGUAAAUCGACAUAAUGUUGAAUAGAAAGUUUCAUAUGGCCUUCAAAAAAUAUGUUAAUAUCUUUUUUUUUCUUUUAGGAGACACAAUAAUUUUUAAAUCUUAAAUCGGAAUUAAUAUCGGAGGAAGGCAUUGAAGAACGACAUCGGAUGAAGCAACGAUGAGUAAAUACCAACGAAUUCGGUUGGAUGGCUCAUUAAUUUUCGAUGAGAGUAGAGGAAUCACAUACGUGACAUGCAUGAACACAUUUUUCACGCUUUUCUCCAAACACCAGGCGGUAUUUGAGAAAGUGUUUUCUUUGAAAAAUUGAAAGAGGCAAACCUUGUCCACUGAAGGCUUUAAUAAUAAAUUUAAGUAUCUCCAAGAGAGUUAAAUCUUUUGGUUCAACCCUUUGAAAACAUUGAUGUGUUAAAAGUGAUUACCUAUAUCGGCCAUCGAGAAGAAAAACAUUACACGCCAAGAGAUCAUCCUGAUACGAUUUACAUGAAACGUUAUGGAUGUUAUCUAUAAGUCGUGAUUUUGAACGUCCAUUAACCUUAGGUGUUUAAAAAAGCGCGAUAAAUGAUGGAAGAGCGGUUAUAGCCUGAUUUGGCGGAAAGGGAGGUGUAUUUGUUCGGCGAGAGUAAACAAUCCGUCUAGAGACCCAUUUCCGCUUGAUCGAAAAUAGUCGCACGGAGAAAGGGUUGCGAUGGAAAACCACAAUAAUCGAUUUUUUAGGUUUACAAGAGAGCAACAAGAAUAAUGAAAGAAUAUUAUAAAAAUAAGACACAAUUAGCAAAGAUUCUAAUUUAAGAGAGACAGGAUAUAAUGAAAUCAUAUAGGAAAACCAAAAAACCGCAAACAUCUAAAAAGAAAAGUAAAAUAAUGAUGAGGAUAAUCCAUAUCCUGUUGAUAUCGAAUUUUGCCUUUAUUUCAGUUCAGAGUAUCCGUUGGCCAAAUUAGGACAAUCUUGGAUAUCAAAUAUUUGUGACUAAAAGCCGAAAAUAUUCCGUCCUAAAUAUUCACAAUUUAGGAAUCACGUUAACCCGAAAAAAAUUAGUUUUCCCUUUUGAAACACAUGGUUAAUAAGCCGACCAACCGUCCAUGAAGAAUAUUCUUGGUGAAGUUGAAUUCCAUUUGCCGGAAGUCUGUCGGUUCCGCCACUCUUUUCAUAUAAAAUCAGGCUUUUAUUCCAUCGAAAGCUGGAGAAAAUGAAGAAAAAAGAGAAAGAGAAAAGAGAAACGAAGCUGAACUUUCGCUGAAAUCCGAUAGCAACGUCAAAGACAAUGUUUUUCAUUCUUGAAACACGCACAAUUACAUCAGAAAUAUAAUUAUAAUCGAUUGCGUAAUCUGAUCAUCCUCGAGUCGAAUGCCAGUGCACGCAUGACUCAAAUCGUUUAUUUUUGAGCUUCGUUGCGUUUUGAUAAGAAAAAUGUACAAUGAUGUUUUGGAAAUCUCGUUCCUCUUAGCAGAACUCAGAAAUUUUCAAUUUUAUGUGAUU